CAGUCGCCGCGGUAAUACGUAGGUCCCGAGCGUUGUCCGGAUUUAUUGGGCGUAAAGCGAGCGCAGGCGGUUAGAUAAGUCUGAAGUUAAAGGCUGUGGCUCAACCAUAGUUCGCUUUGGAAACUGUCAAACUUGAGUGCAGAAGGGGAGAGUGGAAUUCCAUGUGUAGCGGUGAAAUGCGUAGAUAUAUGGAGGAACACCAGUGGCGAAGGCGACUCUCUGGUCUGUAACUGACGCUGAGGAGCGAAAGCGUGGGGAGCGAACAGGAUUAGAUACCCCCGUAGUCCCUGUCUCUUAUACA
rnacentral:rRNA from 1 species